AGAUUGAACGCUAGCGGGAUGCUUUACACAUGCAAGUCGAACGGCAGCGCGGACUUCGGUCUGGCGGCGAGUGGCGAACGGGUGAGUAAUAUAUCGGAACGUGCCCAGUAGCGGGGGAUAACUACGCGAAAGCGUGGCUAAUACCGCAUACGCCCUACGGGGGAAAGGGGGGGAUCGCAAGACCUCUCACUAUUGGAGCGGCCGAUAUCAGAUUAGCUAGUUGGUGAGGUAAAGGCUCACCAAGGCGACGAUCUGUAGCUGGUUUGAGAGGACGACCAGCCACACUGGGACUGAGACACGGCCCAGACUCCUACGGGAGGCAGCAGGUGGGGUAAUUUUGGACAAGUGGGGGAAACCUGAUCCAGCCAUCCCGCGUGUGCGAUGAAGGCCUUCGGGUUGUAAGCUACUUUGGCGAGGAACGGAACGGACGUCGACCUAACGUACGGACGUACACGU
rnacentral:rRNA from 1 species